CGUGAUCUAUCUAGUCCGACAACGAUACAUAUUACUUGUGUACCGCGUUUUCAGACAAGUCUCCUUCGAUAUGAGCUGCGGUGCAUUAUACACGGCAUCGAAGGUGCACGUUGAUGUAUUUGUGUGCGAACACCAACCAGAACAUUCAGAAAAUAGCCCAGUUUUACCCCUGCAGCUAGCUACAAGCGCAACGUUCUCACCCUCACUCGGCCAAACAGCAUGUACCCCGAAGCGACGCAACUAGGCUCAAGGACGAAUCGAGUGCAUGCGUCGCAGAGAUACUCAGAUGCGAUGCGUCCAGCGUCUCCGUGUCAACUUACUUGCAACGCCCAUGACCAUUGCAGGCGCAGCUGACCGCGGGAAACCACUUCUCGGGAUGCUAGUCCAGCGGCCUCCAUCGUAAAGGUGCCAUUCCUAGUGCCUCCAAUUCCAAACCUACACUCCAUUAACAUGGGUAUGAAUAAUCACAAAAUGUUGUCGGUCAAAAUAGUUGUUAGUCUUCUACUAUGAUAGGCAUAAAAUGAGGUC
rnacentral:lncRNA from 1 species